GAAAGUAAUGAAGGGCGUACGGUGGAUGCCUAGGCUCUUACAGGCGAUGAAGGACGUGAUAAGCUGCGAAAAGCCGCGGUGAGGCGCAAAUGGCCCUUGACCCGCGGAUCUCCGAAUGGGACAACCCAAUAUCUUGAAGAGAUAUUAUCCCGCCGAUGCGGGAGGCGAACGCGGGGAACUGAAACAUCUUAGUACCCGCAGGAAAAGAAAAUAAAGAAUGAUUCCCCCAGUAGUGGCGAGCGACCGGGGAAGAGCCCAAACCGACGUUGUCUCGGCAUCGUCGGGGUUGUAGGACCGCGCCAUCGCAAGAAAGGCCGUGAGUGGAAGCGACUGGAAAGCCGCGCCAUAGAGGGUGACAGCCCCUUACACGAAGCAGCCCGAAGCGUAGCGGACUCCUGAGUAGCGCGGGACACGAGUAAUCCUGUGUGAAUCCGCCGGGCCCAUCCGGCAAGGCUAAAUACUCGUAAGAGACCGAUAGUGAACCAGUACCGUGAGGGAAAGGUGAAAAGUACCCCUUGCAGGGGAGUGAAAGAGUUCCUGAAACCGUACGCCUACAAGCGGUCGGAGCAUCUUGAAUGAUGUGACGGCGUGCCUUUUGCAUAAUGAACCUACGAGUUGCCGUCACCAGCGAGGUUAAGUGCGAUGACGCACCGAGCCGCAGCGGAAGCGAGUCUUAAAAGGGCGCAAUAGUUGGUGGAGGCAGACGCGAAACCGAGUGAUCUACACUUGUCCAGGAUGAAGUCCCGGUAACACGGGAUGGAGGUCCGCACCAAUAAGCGUUGAAAAGCUUCUGGAUGAGGUGAGUGUAGGAGUGAAAGGCCAAUCAAACUCGGAGAUAGCUCGUACUCCCCGAAAGGCAUUUAGGUGCCGCCUGUGGCGUUCCCGACGUGAGGUAGAGCGACUGAUAGGAUGCGAGGGCUUCACCGCCUAUCAAGUCCUGACAAACUCCGAAUGCACGUCGGCCAAGCCAUGGAGUAAGGGCAUGGGUGCUAAGGUCCGUGCCCGAGAGGAGAAGAAUCCAGACCACCGGCUAAGGUCCCGAAAUACUGGUUAAGUUAGACUAACGCAGUCCGGCCCCCAAGACAGCUAGGAUGUUGGCUUGGAAGCAGCCAUUCAUUCAAAGAGUGCGUAACAGCUCACUAGUCGAGGAGCUGGGCGUGGAUAAUAAUCGGGUAUGAAACCAGUUACCGAAGCCGUGGGAUGCUUAAGCAUCGGUAGGGGAGCAUUGCAUGCGGCUUAGAAGGCGGGGCGCGAGCCCCUCUGGAGCGCAUGGAAACGCAAAUGUAGGUAUAAGUAACGACAAGGGGGGUGGGAUGCCCCCCCGCCGAAAGACCAAGGUUUCCUGAACAACGCUAAUCGGUUCAGGGUCAGUCGGGUCCUAAGCAUAAGCCGUAUGGCGAGGGCGAUGGACGAAACGGUUAAUAUUCCGUUACUGUCUUGGUGUGUGACGCGGCGACGGAGUAGUGACACGGCCGCCUCCUGACGGAAAAGGAGGUUGAAGCGCAAAGGUGUCGAGGAAGGCAGGCAAAUCCACCUUCCGAGCCGAAGCGCGAAAGUACGCCGGGCCCUUUGGGGCAAGGCGAUAGUGCCGGUAAUCAGACUUCCAAGAAAACCCGCUAAACUUCAGCACCAAGUCACCCGUACUCUAAACGGACACACGUGGUCGGGUAGAAUAUACUAAGGCGCUUGGGAGAUUCACGGUUAAGGAACUAGGCAAAUUGACCCCGUACCUUCGGAAUAAGGGGUCCUCGCUUUUGCGAGGCGCAGAGAAUAGGUCCAGGCAACUGUUUAACAAAAACACAGGGCUGUGCAAAUUUGAAAGAAGAAGUAUACAGCCUGACACCUGCCCGGUGCCGGAAGGUUAAGAGGAGAGCUCAUCAGCGAUGAGAAGGCUUGAAUUGAAGCCCCGGUAAACGGCGGCCGUAACUAUAACGGUCCUAAGGUAGCGAAAUUCCUUGUCGGGUAAGUUC
rnacentral:rRNA from 1 species